rnacentral:rRNA from 1 species
UACGGAGGGUGCAAACGUUGCUCGGAAUUAUUGGGCGUAAAGCGCGCGUAGGCGGCUGGGUAAGUCGAUUGUGAAAGCCCCGGGCUCAACCUGGGAAUUGCAGUCGAGACUGCUCGGCUAGAGUGUGGGAGAGGGUGGUGGAAUUCCCGGUGUAGCGGUGAAAUGCGUAGAUAUCGGGAGGAACAUCAGUGGCGAAGGCGACCACCUGGCUCUACACUGACGCUGAGGUGCGAAAGCGUGGGUAGCAAACAGG